GGAGCUGCAGAACUGGUUUAAGAGGGCUUUCAACAAGGUGAAACAUGUGGGAAAGUCGAUCGGCAAUGACAUCAAGAAAGGAGUCCAAUCUGGGUGUGAUGUAGUCAAUCAAAUUCCUUCACGUGAUUUAGCCUAUAGAAUGUCAGUUGCGUUUCCUGAGAAGAUUUCAGAAGACAUGGAAUAUGGCCUCUAUGAGACAGCCGAUGUUAAGAAGCUUGUAAAUGGCGUUCGCAAGGCUUGUGGCAUCAUUGGAUAAUUUCAUCAAAGUAAGAGCAGGUUCCUGAGAUGGGGAUCGAUACAGACCUACCAAACCUUAUUUCUACCAAUAUCCCCACAUCUGGGGCCCGUCUUACAAGAGGUUGCGAUUGAUCCGAUCAAUCGUAUCUAUGGAACGUCAGCAGCAACGUCAACA